UGAAUACGAGACGCUACGGCGUCGAAGCAGUCUAUGUCAUACUUCCAAGAAAAGCCUGCACUGUCAUAAACAAAUAAUGCCUGUACCAUAACCGACACAGGUGGGUAGGUAGAGUAUACUAAGGGGCGCGAGAUAACUCUCUCUAAGGAACUCGGCAAAAUGACUCCGUAACUUCGGGAGAAGGAGUGCCUUAUUUAUAAGGUUGCAAUAACAAGAUACAAGCAACUGUUUAUCAAAAACACAGGUCUCCGCUAAGUCGUAAGACGAUGUAUGGGGGCUGACGCCUGCCCAGUGCCAGAAGGUUAAAGAAGUUGGUUAGCAUUAGCGAAGCUGAUAACUGAAGCCCUGGUGAACGGCGGCCGUAACAAUAACGGUCCUAAGGUAGCGAAAUUCCUUGUCGGGUAAGUUCCGACCCGCACGAAAGGCGUAAUGAUUUGGAUACUGUCUCAGAGAGGGGCUCGGUGAAAUAGACUUGUCUGUGAAGAUGCGGACUACCUGCACCAGGACAGAAAGACCCUAUGAAGCUUUACUGUAACUUGAAAUUGAAAUUGGACUUUAUUUGCGCAGUAUAGGUGGGAGGCAUUGAUAAUAUUCUUGCGGGAAUGUUGGAGCCAUCAGUGAGAUACCACUCUUGUAAUGUUAGAUUUCCAACUUUGGAUCAUUAUCUGGUCAAAGGACAGUUUCAGGCGGGCAGUUUGACUGGGGCGGUCGCCUCCUAAAUGGUAACGGAGGCGCACAAAGGUUUCCUCUGAACGGGUAGAAAUCGUAUCUAGAGUGUAAAGGCAUAAGGAAGCUUGACUGUGAGACCUACAAGUCGAGCAGGGACGAAAGUCGGUCUUAGUGAUCUGACGGUGCUGAGUGGAAAGGCCGUCACUCAACGGAUAAAAGUUACUCUAGGAUAACAGGCUGAUCUCCCCCAAGAGUUCACAUCGACGGGGAGGUUUGGCACCUCGAUGUCGGCUCAUCGCAUCCUGGGGCGGUAGUACGUCCCAAGGGUUGGGCUGUUCGCCCAUGAAAGCGGUACGCGAGCUGGGUUCAGAACGUCGUGAGACAGUUCGGUCCAUAUCCGGUGUAGGCGUUAGAAUAUUGAGAGGAGCCUUCUUUAGUACGAGAGGACCGAGAAGGACAUACCUCUGGUGUACCAGUUAUCGUGCCAACGGUAAACGCUGGGUAGCUAUGUAUGGAGAGGAUAACCGCAGAAAGCAUCUAAGUGGGAAGCCCACCUCAAGAUAAGUAUUCU
rnacentral:rRNA from 1 species